CCUACGGGUGGCAGCAGUGAGGAAUAUUGGUCAAUGGACGAGAGUCUGAACCAGCCAAGUAGCGUGAAGGAUGACUGCCCUAUGGGUUGUAAACUUCUUUUAUAAAGGAAUAAAACGAGGCACGUGUGCCUUUUUGCAUGUACUUUAUGAAUAAGGAUCGGCUAACUCCGUGCCAGCAGCCGCGGUAAUACGGAGGAUCCGAGCGUUAUCCGGAUUUAUUGGGUGUAAAGGGAGCGUAGAUGGGUUGUUCAGUCAGUUGUGAAAGUUUGCGGCUCAACCGUAAAAUUGCAAUUGAUACUGGCAGUCGUGAGUACAGUUGAGGUAGGCGGAAUUCGUGGUGUAGCGGUGAAAUGCUUAGAUAGCACGAAGAACCCCGAUUGCGAAGGCAGCUUACUAAACUGUGACUGACAUUGAUGCUCGAAAGUGUGGGUAUCAAACAGGAUUAGAUACCCCUGUAGUC
rnacentral:rRNA from 1 species